AAAAAUCAAAGAUAGAAGGUCACCUACAUGAUCAAGAAGGUGGUUCACCCAGGGUUAGGCUCGGCCAUUGCACUCUGACUUUGCUGACCCCUGAGACUUCCCCAAAUGUGGGAAACUCGACUGCAAGAUUUCGGGUAGAUUUCUGAAUUUUUUCUUCU